AUUCAAUUGAAACUCUUAUUUUUCAUAAUAUUUCUAUUCAGUAUCUCCUUGUAGACACACCCAUGAUGAUUGCUUUCUGCAUCAUCCUCUAAAUUCCUGAGACGUACCAUUUACACCUCCAAUGAGAUAUUUUUGACUCCUAAAUUCUAUAUACAGGUACAGAAGAGCCUUGGGAGAGGUACAUAACAAAUUUCCUUCUCACACUGGAGCAGAGUCACAUAUAGAAAACUAAUGUCCCAUAUGUUUGUAUUUUGAUAAAGAUCUUUGAGUUAGAGCUGCAAAAAACAUUCAGUCACCAUAAAGAUUAUGGAAAUGUUGAUAGUAAACUAGAAUGAAGGCAAUGACAGCAAACAUAGACAAAGGACAUAUGAUAAUUCAGAUAAAAAAAAAAAAACAAGGAACAGCUGUAUGAAGAAAAAUUCACAAAGAAAUGUUAAAUCAUCUGAGAAUCAGAUAUUUUAAGGAGAGAACCACUUAAAUUUGAAGAACACAUAGACUCAAAGAAGAAAUAAUGAAUGGAAUGGGAGUGACUUAUCUCCUGCUAAACAGAAAAUAAACAGACAAAAUGAAAUUAACCCUUGGGAUUCAAUGCCCUAGUGGAUUUUUUGGAACCUGCCAAAAAGAUGGGCCAUAUGGUCAGGAGUGCUUCUGUGACAACAGAGGCCCAGAGGAAAUUUCAAGGAUUAUAAAUCCUCUUGUUUCAUCUCAUAAUUUGACGACCAGCUGGCACUAGGAAGUAUAACAUUGUACAAGUAAGUGCCUAUGGGUUUUUACAUCUUCCUCAGUAGCAUCCGGGGUUGGCCCCUGGAAAACAGAAUGUGGCACUACUCCAGGAUUGUCAUUAAUCUGCCUCCAUAGGGCAGUCUUCCCACAUGGGGAUCCAUCCAUAAUGGUUUGUUGUAGCGAUCUGUCACGCCAUAUGGGGGAAGAGAAACAAGAGAUUGAGCAACAGAGGGACACACAUAACUUGGAAUCCUGGCAAAAAUGGAAAAGAAGCAAGGAAGCAUUGAACAUCAUGUGUCCACAUAACUGAGCAGAGGUCAAGCAGUUAAUUACAUGCCCAUUGCUAGGUGUUAGAGUCUGCCAUAGAGACAUGGAGGGGAAAAGGGGAUCCAGCAGGGAGAGUAAGCCAGUGUUUCUGGAGUGGUACCAAAAUAAAAAUCCUUCUUGUAAUAACUUUCAGGGCUAGUUGAAUGUGAGAGUAUGCGACUCCUGGAAGAUACUGCUAUGCUGUGUACACAGUGCCUGCUCAUGUGGUAGUGCAAAGAAGGCCCCGGGGAGGAAGGAGAUGAAACCAUGAGUAUGUCCUACAACUGUUUAUUAUGAUGGUGGGUGAAAGUUAUGCCAUUUUCUAGUUCAGUUUUCACCUACCCAUUUGUCCCACCCAGUGCUGCAGCCAUAUAAAACUACCAUGCUCUUCAGAGCUUGGACAGUCCUAGAAGUAGAAGAGAUCAGUGCUGGAAUGGAGAAUAGAAUGUGUUGGUUGGAUGAAUGCAUGUAUGCAUGCAAUAAUGAAUGAACAAAUGAUUGCACUUAGUAGUACUUCCCAUAACCAGUCAGCUAUUUCGUACAAAUGCUAGUGGUGGUAAGUCUUUAUCUCCUGGAAGUAGUUUUUGAAGAUGAGAGAGAAGGGAAGUAGCAGGUGAGUGGAAAGUAGAUAGAUAAAAGAGGAAAAAAAAAUUUCACCCUGAUGGGGGAAAUUCUGUGACUUUAUUAUUUAAAUAAGAGUGUUCUUCAUAUAUUCUGUUUUCUUAUGGUGCUUCAGUUAUUUCACAUGUGAUUUCCUAUUAGCUUUGAACAUUUUAAAGCACCAAAUGCAAGCACUUUUAAUGCGACGUUCAGUACUCAUAGAUGAAUGGAUAGCAGGAAAUGCAAAUGGGAAAUUGUUGAAACCAAAUGGAAUGACCACUAUUACCUUGCAUAUUGCCUCCACUGUCUCAAGGUAAGACAGAGCUAAUGUCAGCUCAGCUGCAACAAGGACAAAAGGGUUUGGUGACUGGGGAGAAGGGAAAAACAACCUCUCUUUUUCAACCUUUCAGAGGAAGGAGCGCUCUCAGCAGGAGGGAUCGCAGGGCUCUGGGAGAGCAAUUGCAUUGGAGGGGCGGGGACAACAGGAAGUGAGUGCAAACAGACCCUCUCCUCAACAUAAACACACACAGACUUAACCUAUGGCUGAACUUCUGCCCUUGAGUGACCAGCGCCAUUAGGACACAGGUCAAAAGGUUGUAGUGCGACAGAAAAUGGAGCCUGAUUGAAUGAAAGAGAAAAUGAAAAAUUCUUUUGUUUGCUUCACUCUGUGGUUUGUAAAGGCGGCUGUGAUGUCAUAAUGGAGACCAGAGUGGGAAAAAGAAGUCCCUGAUUUAUCACAGUCUGAGAAAGGCAGUCGGAAAUUCAGUUAAGCAUUGAAAACCAAAAUCGGCUGGGAGACCUACACACAAUAAAAGAACACUUGCAAGUAGACAUGAUACUAUGAAUAUUACCACUACGCAGAUGAAGAAAUGGAGGCAGAAAGGAUUUAAAAGGAAACUGCAUGAGGAUGGAGAUUAUGUCCUUGUUUUCACACAUUUCCAGCAUUUAGAACAGUGCCUGGAACAUGGUAGGCAGUCAAUUAAUACUUUUAAAAUAAAUACAUAUGUAAGUGAGAAGGGUCACUAAGAUUCAGACAUCUUAGAGUUUUCAGACUAGUUUUAAAAUUCCAGGGAGAAGUAUUUUUAAGAUACUUUUUUUUAGAUACCUCACUCAGUUACAAAUUUAGAUGACAUUACAGGUUGAAUAUCCUUAUGCAAAAAUGCUUAUUUCUAGAAGAGUUUCAGAUUUCUGAAUUUUUCAGAUUUUAGAACAUUUGUACAGACUUUAGCAGUUGAGCAUCCUUAGUCUGAAAAUUCAAAUUUCAGAUGCUCUAAAAUCUAAAGCUUUUUGAGCACUAUGUCAGUGUUCAAAAUGUUUAAGAUUUUUAGAAUAUUUUAGAUUUCACAUUUUCAGAUUAGAGUGCUCAAUCUGUAGUAGAAAUUCAAGUGAAACAAAAUGAAGAAGGCAGAGUAGGUGGCUGUUGGGAAGAACUGACAGGUCAGCCAUACAUCUGAAAAGAGGAAAGGAUCGUUAUGAAGGGUGGCAAAGAUUUCUGAAGACAAGUCAUGUUGUACAAAUUGAAGUCAUCAUCAACACCUGUUGCCUUGAGAAGUCUCAUUUAUUUUCCAGUGGGACCACCUUAAACACUUGGUAACUUAAAUUCUGUUUAGAAUUUGGACUCCAUUUUCUAUUCACGUAUAGACAAAGCUAGUGUGUAUUCAUAGUAGCAGCAUUUUGUGUCCACUUAGCAAAGCAUUGUAGAAACUGUUGAGGAAGUGUUAGCAUCAGAAUGAGAAUGCAUAUUAUGUGAGAUGACUCCUCCUGGAGUAGUAUUUGCAGUGCUAGGAAAUACACGUGUGUGUAUGUGUGUAUAUAUAUAUAUACACACAUAUAUAUACAUUAAGAUUUAUUUAUUUAUUUGAAAUGCAGGGUUACAGAGAGGCAGAGGCAGAAAGGGAGAGAGAGAGAGAGGUCUUUCAUCCACUGGUUCACUCCCCAAGUGGCCGCAAUGGCAGCAGCUGCUCCGAUCUGAAGCCAGGAGCUAGGAGUUUCCUCUGGGUCUCCCACAUGGGUACAGGUGCCCAAUGUCUUGGGUCAUCUUCUACUGAUUUGCCAGGCCAUUGCAGAGAGCUGAAUUGAAAGUGGAGCAGCCAGAACUCAAACCGGCUCCCAUAUGGGAUGCCAGCACUGCAGGUGGCUGCUUUAUCCACUGCCACAAGCGCUGGCACCAAGAGUAUAUUUUUUAAAAACAAAUUCUAAGUGUCUAGAAAUUGACACUGGAGGUGGCCAGCAUUUUGUCACAGUGGGUUAAGCCACUUUAUAUGGAAGUGUACAUUCUGGUCCCAGCUCCUUCACUUCUGAUCCAGCUCCCUGUUAAUGCACCUGGGAAGGAAGCAGAAGAUGGCCCAAGUGCUUGGGUCCUUGCCAAGUCAGGUGGAGUUCCUGACUGUUGAUUUUAACCUGACCCAGACCCCACGGUUGUGGUCCUUUGGGGAAUGAACCAGUGGAUGGAAGAUCUCUCUCUGUCACUCUGCCUCUCAAAUCCAUUAAUCAAUCUUUAAAAAAUAACACCAAUAACAUCAACUAACUAUAUUGGCUUCUUCUCAGGGAUGCCUCUGCCCCAACAGUGAAUGAUCCUUGUCCCCUACUCAGUAAAAGCAGACUGGAGCUAACAUUUAUUGUCUGUAAUCAUGUGGUUAAAUAUAAGUAAUGUUCCCAUUUUGUUUUGGGAAAAUUUAUACACAGAAUGGUAAGAGAGAGGCUAAGUACCUUGCCUGAAGACAUGGUUAUUACAUAUCAGAGCUAAGAUAUGAGUAAACCCUAGAUAAUCUGACUUUUUGCACAAUAAAGUAGCAACUCUGAAUUAUUACAGGAUAUAAUUUGUUCAAGGUAUUUUGUCUUGUAUAAUAAUGGCUUUUUAUUGUCUCUUGACAAAUAAUCAGUUAAUAGCAGGAUACUCUAAGGAAGGUGUAGGAAUUCUUUCUGUUUGUUUUUAUAGCUAGGAUGAAUUUUGGAUUUUCUCCUUAUAAGGUAAAAAUAUUUAUGUGAUUAUACAGGUCAGAUGACAAAAUGAGAUAAAAAUAUGAAAAUACCUUAAAAUUAAAAGUAUUCUAUUGUUAUUAAUUCUGUUGUGUAAGUUUAGAUAAUGUUUUAAGAGUAUUGACAGCAAAGAAAAAACAUGCUGGAACUCAACUUGUGGUUGCUGUUUUCUACUAUUUAUCUAAGACAAGGUAUCUUGGACUUCCAAAAUCUAGGGUUUUCUAGAGAUAUCAACAAUUAUCACACACAGAAAGUAUGAGGUGAGAGAUAUAUUAAUCAGCUUGCUUUAAUCAUUCUGCAAUGUAUAAUACAGCCUUCCUUCCUCAUUCAUAGAUUCAACCAAUCUUGGAUCAAACAUAUUUGGCCAAAAACAAACAAAAUUUGCAUCUGUCCUGAACAUGUACAGACAUUUUUUCUUAUAAUUAUUCCCUAAGCAAUGCAGUAUAAUAACUAUUUAAUAGCAUUUGCAUUGUAUUAGGUAUUAUAAGUAAUAUAAACAUUAUUUAAAUCAUGUGGAAGAAUGUGUGUAAGUUAUAUACAAAUACUAAACUAUUUCAUAUGA